rnacentral:rRNA from 1 species
UACAGAGGUCUCAAGCGUUGUUCGGAUUCAUUGGGCGUAAAGGGUGCGUAGGCGGCGCGGUAAGUCGGGUGUGAAAUCUCGGAGCUUAACUCCGAAACUGCAUUCGAUACUGCCGUGCUUGAGGACUGGAGAGGAGACUGGAAUUUACGGUGUAGCGGUGAAAUGCGUAGAUAUUGGGAGGAACACCAGUGGCGAAGGCGGGUUGCUGGGCUGACACUGACGCUGAAGCGCGAAAGCCAGGGGAGCGAACGGG